GACGAACGCUGGCGGCGUGCCUAAUACAUGCAAGUAGGACGCAGUUGCGAACGGGUGAGUAACGCGUAGGUAACUACCUAUUAGAGGGGGAUAACUAUUGGAAACGAUAGCAAAAACCGCAUACUAGUAGAGGGACCGGCGUUGUAUUAGCUAGUAGGAAGGGUAAUGGCCUACCUAGGCAACGAUACAUAGCCGACCUGAGAGGGUGAUCGGCCACACUGUGACUGAUACACGGCCCAGACUCCUACGGGAGGCAGCAGUAGGGAAUCUUCGGCAAUGGGGGGAACCCUGACCGAGCAACGCCGCGUGAGUGAAGAAGGUUUUCGGAUCGUAAAGCUCUGUUGUUAAGGAAGCGGUACUUAACCAGAAAGGGACGGCUAACUACGUGCCAGCAGCCGCGGUAAUUC
rnacentral:rRNA from 1 species